ACGGGUGCGUAACGCGUGGGAAUCUGCCCCUUGGUUCGGAAUAACCGUUGGAAACGACGGCUAAUACCGGAUGACGACGUAAGUCCAAAGAUUUAUCGCCGAGGGAUGAGCCCGCGUAGGAUUAGCUAGUUGGUGUGGUAAAGGCGCACCAAGGCGACGAUCCUUAGCUGGUCUGAGAGGAUGAUCAGCCACACUGGGACUGAGACACGGCCCAGACUCCUACGGGAGGCAGCAGUGGGGAAUAUUGGACAAUGGGCGCAAGCCUGAUCCAGCAAUGCCGCGUGAGUGAUGAAGGCCUUAGGGUUGUAAAGCUCUUUUACCCGGGAUGAUAAUGACAGUACCGGGAGAAUAAGCUCCGGCUAACUCCGUGCUAGCAGCCGCGGUAAUACGGAGGGAGCUAGCGUUGUUCGGAAUUACUGGGCGUAAAGCGCACGUAGGCGGCUUUGUAAGUUAGAGGUGAAAGCCUGGAGCUCAACUCCAGAAUUGCCUUUAAGACUGCAUCGCUUGAAUCCAGGAGAGGUGAGUGGAAUUCCGAGUGUAGAGGUGAAAUUCGUAGA
rnacentral:rRNA from 1 species